UACGUAGGGUGCGAGCGUUUGUCCGGAAUUAUUGGGCGUAAAGAGCUCGUAGGCGGUCUGUCGCGUCGGUCGUGAAAAACUUGGGGCUUAACCCUGAGCUUGCGGUCGAUACGGGCAUGACUGGAGUUCGGCAGGGGAGACUGGAAUUCCUGGUGUAGCGGUGAAAUGCGCAGAUAUCAGGAGGAACACCGGUGGCGAAGGCGGGUCUCUGGGCCGAUACUGACGCUGAGGAGCGAAAGCGUGGGGAGCGAACAGG
rnacentral:rRNA from 1 species